rnacentral:lncRNA from 1 species
CUCUUAUAAUUGUACGAGCACACUUCAUACCGUAAAUCGUUUUUAAUGAUAGAAAUUUCGAAUCAACGAUUCAUACCAUAAAACAUAAUUUAGAAUAUUUAAAAUUUCUAGAAAUCAAAUUUCAUAAUUUUUUUAUAUCAUUUACCUUACGAUCAAAUAUUUUAAAUUUGAUAAUUUUUAACAAUCGGUAUGAGAUACUUGCUAAUUUAAUGGUGUAAAAAAAUUGGCAUUGGUUAAAUUUUAAUAGAAAAUUCUGUUCACUAUCUAAAUAGAAAUCAAUAACUUUGAUCUUAAAUUGAAGAAUCCGAUCCUUUAUAUUUAAGAGGCCGUUUAAUUUUGGCCGUUCAUUUUAUACUCGCUUGAGGGACUUUAUUUUGAUUUUAAAAAAUUACGAAAUUUAUUUUCUAAAAAUUUCAAAUACUCUAGAUCAUAUAUAAUGGUAUAGAUUAUCAAUUUGGAAGCACCAUCAUCAAAAACAACUGAUGAGUACGAAAAGAUCUAUACUCAUAAAAAUAUAUAUAGCCGCCCUAGUACAUAUACAUAUAUAUAUAGAGAGAGAGAGAGAGAGAGAGAGAGAGAGAGAGAGAGAGAGAGAGAUAGUUGAGCUAAAAUAGUAUCGGUAGUAAAUUGGCUUCAUUGCUACUGGUUUAUUUUUCGAUGAUGGAUCAAGUUUCCAAAUCGACGAUCGGCACCAUCGAACAUAAUUUACACCACCUGAAAUCUCUAAAAAUUAAAUUUUAAAUCUUUUGAUAAUAUUAACCUAAUAUUCAAAGGGUUGCAGAAUUAUAAUUUUAAUGGUCGAUUUGAAGGGUUUGCUUUUAAUGGUGUAAAUAAAUUUAAUUCAAUUGAAUUUUGAUUAGAAAAUUUUUUAAACUAUUUAAAAUAAAAUCUAUACUCUUUGAUCUUCAUUACAAGAAUAUAUGAUCACUUUUAAAGGAUAGAUAUUUAUAUUUAAUCGUUCAUUUUUUUGUUUACUUGAUGCAUAAAAAGGACAAUAUCAUAAAAUAUAAAUUUUGAUUUUUAGAUAUUUCAAGUGGUGGACAUCAUAUCCAACAGUAUCGAUCGUCGAUUUGGAGGUUCUAUCGUUAAAAAUAAAUCGGUAACAACGAAAACCGUUUGUUGCCGAUAGUACUUUAGCUGAACUCUCUUGCUCUGUCUCUCUAUAUAAAGCUACAAGAUUUUUAACCGUAUACAUCUUAAACUACAUGUAUUUAUAAUUUAUAUUCCUCCAAAUGGACCUUGGGAGUCAUGAGGGUGGGUGGUUGUCCCUACUGGGUUGGGUUGAUCUUGGUUGAUCCCCAUUCUCGUUUUAAAUGGUCCUCAGAUAAUAUUUUGUACUGCAGGAAUAUUAAUGUGGCAGUAUUAAUUAGAAGUACCAUAUUGUACUAUUUUGUCAUUUCUAAGUGAGAUGUUUUGGUCCCCAUCCAUAGAAUAUUCUUUAAAGGAUUUUAAUAUAUCAAUAAAUAAAGAGAGAAAUAGAGAAAGUCCAGCUACUAUUCUUUUAGAAAAACGUAGGGCGCUUCGUCCUCCUAAGUCAUUUCAGAAAAUAGGAAUUUUAAAUCGAUAAUCGAAAUCGUUAAAAGUGAUAUUCAUCUCUUUUAUAUCUUUCAGCCCUUUUUUUUUCGUUUUCUCUUCAUUUCUUUAAUUUAUCUUAGUUCUUCUUCAGAACUAAAAUCUUCUUCAUUUUCUCCUUCUUCUAAAUUCUUUAUUUCUUCUUUCUGUUCUAUCCAUUCUAUAUUUAUAAUGUCUAGAAACUAAAUUUUAUAAAUUUAAAAAUUUGUUAUCAUGUUCAUUAAAGAGUCGAAAAAUAAACGGUCAAAAACAAAUUAUCUUGUGAAAAGAGAUGUUAAACUUUUUCAAUUCAUGAUUGGAGUUAUCAAACAUUAUCUAAAUAUAUAAAAAAAAAUUUAUCAAAAAUUCAAACUGUUUGGAUAUGUAAGGAUUGAGAAUUUGGUAAUGUAGCUAAGCUCUCUGUUGAUGAUAUUUUUGUGUGUAUUUUAAUUACAAAAGCACUCGUCAAGUUUCGGAGAAAAAAGAGUUAGAAUGGAGAUUUUACGCGAUCUUUACUUUUCACUUAAAGUGAAUAGUAAUGCGGUUUUUCGGUGAGGCCAUUGAGUGGAGAUGGCUUCAGGCGCGUAUCGGACUCCGUUCACAGUAAUCCAAUAGCUUGUUUUCAAUGGUCUGACUAUUCUAGAAUCAUUAGCGCUGACGGAUUUCAGGUUUGACGCACAGAUUGCGAGAAAUCUGGAUAUACAUAUAUUUUU